UACGUAGGGUCCGAGCGUUGUCCGGAAUUACUGGGCGUAAAGAGCUCGUAGGUGGUUUGUCGCGUUGUUCGUGAAAACUCACAGCUCAACUGUGGGCGUGCGGGCGAUACGGGCAGACUAGAGUACUGCAGGGGAGACUGGAAUUCCUGGUGUAGCGGUGGAAUGCGCAGAUAUCAGGAGGAACACCGGUGGCGAAGGCGGGUCUCUGGGGGCGAUCUGACGCUGAGGCGCGAAAGCGUGGGGAGCAAACCGG
rnacentral:rRNA from 1 species